rnacentral:rRNA from 1 species
GACGAACGCUGGCGGCGUGCCUAAUACAUGCAAGUCGAGCGGACCAAACAGGAGCUUGCUCUUGUUUGGUUAGCGGCGGACGGGUGAGUAACACGUGGGUAACCUGCCCGUAAGACCGGGAUAACUCCGGGAAACCGGAGCUAAUACCGGAUAACACCGAAGACCGCAUGGUCUUUGGUUGAAAGGCGGCUUCGGCUGCCACUUACGGAUGGGCCCGCGGCGCAUUAGCUAGUUGGUGAGGUAACGGCUCACCAAGGCGACGAUGCGUAGCCGGCCUGAGAGGGUGACCGGCCCCACUGGGACUGAGACACGGCCCACACUCCUACGGGAGGCAGCAGUAGGGAAUCUUCCGCGAAGGACGAAAGUCUGACGGGGCGACGCCGCGUGAGCGAAGAAGGUCUUCGGAUCGUAAAGAUCUGUUGUUAGGGAAGAAGAAGCGCCGUUCGAACAGGGCGGCGCGGUGACGGUACCUAACGAGAAAGCCCCGGCUAACUACGUG